AUUGAACGCUGGCGGCAUGCCUUACACAUGCAAGUCGAACGGCAGCACGGGUGCUUGCCCCUGGUGGCGAGUGGCGAACGGGUGAGUAAUACAUCGGAACAUGUCCUGUAGUGGGGGAUAGCCCGGCGAAAGCCGGAUUAAUACCGCAUACGAUCUACGGAGGAAAGCGGGGGACCUUCGGGCCUCGCGCUAGAGGGGUGGCCGAUGGCUGAUUAGCUAGUUGGUGGGGUAAAGGCCUACCAAGGCGACGAUCAGUAGCUGGUCUGAGAGGACGACCAGCCACACUGGGACUGAGACACGGCCCAGACUCCUACGGGAGGCAGCAGUGGGGAAUUUUGGACAAUGGGCGAAAGCCUGAUCCAGCAAUGCCGCGUGUGUGAAGAAGGCCUUCGGGUUGUAAAGCACUUUUGUCCGGAAAGAAAUCCUUGGCCCUAAUACGGUCGGGGGAUGACGGUACCGGAAGAAUAAGCACCGGCUAACUACGUG
rnacentral:rRNA from 1 species